rnacentral:lncRNA from 1 species
GUGGUGACUCCGACGCAUCUUCCAAGGGAAUUCUCGGAGUGUGCCGGACGCCAUCGGGAAAAUCCUAUCUACUUGUUCUUGAUCCGCACUGGUACAGGAAUGUUGCAAAACACGGCCACCUCACCGGAGCCAGGGACCAUUUGCAGCAGAAUGGGUGGAUCUCGUGGCGCCCUCUUGAUUCCCUCAUGGAGAGCUCCUUUUAUAACCUGUGCCUGCCCUUGCUGCCCUCCCCGGCAGUCAGCCGCUCAUGACCUCACUUCCUUGGAUCACUACUGGCGCCUCUUGGACUGUACCUCCCCUUUUCAGAGAACAGCCGGAAUGACAGUAAAGAGUGUUUGUGCGUUAUGCAGUGCCGAGUGAUGAAGUCCAUUAUUAUUAUUAUAUGAAAGCGAAAAUGCAAGUAAUGCUGACUACAGAAACGUUUAAGCUAAAUAAUAAUAAUAAUAAUAAUAAUAAUAAUAAUAAUAAUAAUAAUAAUACUUUUAUUGCCAAUAACCAAAUCAGUACAUUCAUACGGCAUGCCAAAGCCGGCUUGAGCGGCAGAGCCUGGCAGGCAGCAAAACCAUACACGGUACAUUAAUAGAUUAUUUAUAAGCAGCGAACUCGAGUAUAGCAUACCAGAAAAAAAAAGUUAUUAAAAUUUAUACAGUGCCUAUGAAAAGAAUUUCCAUUGAGCAUAAUGAAUCACAGAAACACAGCAAUGCGUGUGAAC